AGCGACAGAGAGCAGGGGGAUCGAUGUGGCAGGCGAGCGGCGUGACCCGCGGGUCGGGGGCAGUCCGGCCGGCAAGCUAGCAGCUGUAGAGGCCAUGCGCGCCGGUCAGUUGCUCUAAAAGGGGGGACGGACAGAACCGGCAGGUGCUUCGCGGAGCGAGACCGGAGAGCUCGAGAGAACGGAGGGCGAGCUAGAGGCAGAAAGUGAGACCGAGAGAGCGUUUCGGCAUUUCUUGAGAUCCGCCCGUUGCUCAUCAUCUAAACCGGGGGAGGAGACGAAUCUGGUGAGCGCCGUUGCGGUUUCGUUUCGCUUCGUCGUCCGAGGCGGCUUUGCUCUUGUCCUCUACUCGUGCCUGCCAACUGUUUGAUAAUUUGCGGCUGUGGCCGCCCAAAGAUUGCAAUUUGUACUUGUCUGGAUAUUGGGACGUGUGCGAUGAAGGUAUGGUACGGUAGUGUUUUUGGCAUGCUGUCGCCUUGUCAUUUGGUUUCAAGGAAUUAGUUUUGAGGUUAAUAUUUGAUUCAUGAUGAUGGCUAUAAAACUGCGAACAAUGACAAGGCGAUCAUCUUCCCUUAUGUAGACACUACUCCACUGGCCAGCCUCUGUACCCUAUUGAGGGAUUUGGAGAGCACACAGUUGCUUUUUGAUUUUUAAGUGGGAAUUUGUUGGUAACACAUGGAAUCGACGUUGAUGGGAAGUAUCCGAGGUUGGACCCGGGACAGCACACAAUAGGUUUCAGCUUGUAGAAAGUGGGAGCUUGUGAGUUACAUGAGGUGGUAGAUUGUUUGUGCGAAGAAAGCUCUUGGUUUUGUAAAAGAAAAAGAAACAAUAUAAAUUGCGGUAGAUUACUGUGUGAAGAGAUAUUUGACUUACGAUCUGUGAUGAAGGGAUGUAUGCUUAAUGUUCAGCUAUGGCAAUUCUUGGUAUCAUCUGAAGUUGUCUCAAGCAUUGUUUUCAAAAUCUCGGAUCAUUCUAAAUUUUAAAUUUGAUGGUUUAUCUCAACUGGAAGGAAAAUUUGUAAAAUGAUAGAACUGGCAUGAAUUUUUUAUUGGAGCUCCAAAAUUAGUGUAAUUUUCUCCAAGAUGAAGUAUAGGAAUGUCACUGGUAAAUGUGUGCAAAUGGGACAAUUGAGAGUUCUUUAAUUCUAAAAGACACAUUAACCUGUGUUGACAUCUAAAUUUUACUAUUUUAUUUAUGACUUAAUCGUAUAAAAAAUUAUGAAUUAGUCGCUAAAGAAAAACAAAAGUAAGGAGUAAAAUAAAUAACUUUAAUUAAAAGGCAUUGUUUAUGUUUUCAUUAAAAUCCGUUACGUGUAGACAUUACGAGCAUCUACAUAGCUAUCACUAAUUAUUAAACCUAAAAAUUUUAGAAAAAUCGAAAAAAAAAAACGGACCGGGCUAGGCCCAGUCCUUCAUAAUUCUCCUCUCCUCUGUAUCUUUUGUCGCCUGGGCCCAACCCCAGCCCCUCUUUUUCCUUUUCUUCCCCGGCCCAACCUUCUUCUCUUCUUCCUCUUUCUCCCUCGCGCUCCCUGUAGAAAGAAGGAAAAACAAAGUACGAGCCAGAAGAGACUGGGAUGGUGAGGGAGCAGAGGAGGCAGCGGAUCGUGCAGCAUGAUCCCAGGGUCGGAGUCAGGCCGGCAAGGCAGCUGGCGGUGGCAUGAGCCAUGCGCGCUUGCUGGCCGAGCAUAAAAGCGAGAGGGGGUUCUCGGCUGGUCCGGGGGUUCAAGCGAAGGACAGAGGUCGGAGAGAGAAAUCCAAAAGGGAGUUCGAGCGAGAGCAGCCGAGAGAGCGAGAGGGCUGAAAUUUAGCCCCGGCCAAGCGUCUUCUAGCCGUCCUCGACGCAAACCGGCGCAACGGAGCUCGCGGUUCCUCCCUUUUUCCACGUCCUCCGACGUUGGGCUUGGCCGAGAGGGACCAACAAGAGCGUGAGCCCCAGAGAGUGAUCUGCCGUCGUCGGUGGUUCGUCAGUCAGUCAGUCGCCGUCCGCCGCGGUACCCCAACCGAACCAAACCAGCUUCCGUAACAAAUAAGGUCCAAAAUGGAGUGUGAAGAUUGGGACAGCCUGUCAAGUGACUCUGUGUUAUUGGAACAAGACUUGAAGGAUGAAGAGGAUUAUAACAACACAUCCAACUCUUCGUUCAAGUUGGAAUUCAGGUGUGUUUUGCAGGAAAGUAACUUCAGUAGCUCAGUGGAAUAGUGGGGUAGGAAUGGCUGAGGUGGUGGAAAGGAAGGGUCAGUUAUGGACAACAACUGGCAUUGUCCGUAGCAGGAAGCUGUACUGUUCAAUUGAAGAGACUUUGUAGGUGAUGCAUAAAUGCAUUGUCAGUCUACGUUGCUUUGGUUCUUGAUGGAAAUAGGGGCUUUGCUUCUUUUGAGGGAGAAUGAUGAAUCCAUCUCCUUGGAAACUAUGUAUCAGCAAUUAGCAGAGAAGGAUGGAUGCUUUUAGGAACUUUAUGAGGUCUAUAGACACCUGAAGUCGCUUGGUUACAUUGUUGGUCGGCAUGGCAUUCCUUGGUCUUUGAAGAGUGUCAAGAGAAACAUUGGCACAGUUUCUUCUGAAGGUACUUCAGAAAGCCUGGAAGUGCAAUCACCUCAAGACUGCAAUUCUGUAAUUGAAAGAUUUAUAAAGAUGGACUUGAAUGAACUGAAGCUGGUAUUUGAUGUUUAUCUCCCAAAUGGAAAGUUCAGAAAAUCUUCACCUGGUGAUCCAAGCUACGUGCUUAGCUUGAUCAGGGGCCAACCACCAUCUAAAAUAGAAAUGGAGGCUAUUGAAAGACAAUGUGGAGGCAUUCCACUGAAAUUUUGCCUUGUGGAGCAUGGGCGUGUCAGUUUCUAUUCCUUUAGCAAAGUGGAGCUUCCUGUCCUACCCUGAUAAAUGCCUGUGCAUGCAGCUCCAAAGACUUAAUUCAUUGGAUUUUUUUGAUGCACUUCCAGAAAGGAGGAUUUCUAGAUUCUAGGCUUUAAAUGGAUUUUUUUGAUGCACUUCCAGAAAGGAGGAUUUCUAGAUUCUAGGCUUUAAAUGGAGGUGAAUGCUUGUUUCUUUUCUAUCAAGCCUGGAGUAAUUUUCUGUGAUUGCUCUACUCCUGAUAGUUAUUAGCAUCAUUCUUGCAGAAACCGGUGCAUAAUUUGAAAGAACAAAUGUGGUAAUUCUAGCAGCAGGAUGACAUUUUGUAAAGAAUAGCUGAAUGAUUGAUUAUUCAGAUCACUUCCUCAUUCUGUUUCUGCUUUCACUUUCCCCAAGAAUUUGAUCGUACUGUUUGAACUUUGAAUGACAAGGCUGAUAUAUUUCCUCUUCCUAUA